GGAGAAGUGUCCGAGCGGUUUAAGGUGCAGUCCUGGAAAGACUGUGUACCUCAAAAGGGUACCGGGGGUUCGAAUCCCCCCUUCUCCG
rnacentral:tRNA from 1 species